UACGAAGGGGGCUAGCGUUGCUCGGAAUCACUGGGCGUAAAGCGCACGUAGGCGGCUUUCUAAGUCAGGGGUGAAAUCCUGGAGCUCAACUCCAGAACUGCCCUUGAUACUGGAGAGCUUGAGUUCGGGAGAGGUGAGUGGAACUGCGAGUGUAGAGGUGAAAUUCGUAGAUAUUCGCAAGAACACCAGUGGCGAAGGCGGCUCACUGGCCCGGUACUGACGCUGAGGCACGAAAGCGUGGGGAGCAAACAGGG
rnacentral:rRNA from 1 species